GACGAACGCUGGCGGCGUGCUUAACACAUGCAAGUCGAACGGAAAGGCCCUGCUUUUGUGGGGUGCUCGAGUGGCGAAAGGGUGAGUAACACGUGAGUAACCUGCCCUUGACUUUGGGAUAACUUCAGGAAACUGGGGCUAAUACCGGAUAGGAGCUCCUGCUGCAUGGUGGGGGUUGGAAAGUUGCGGCGGUUGGGGAUGGACUUGCGGCUUAUCAGCCUGUUGGUGGGGUAGUGGGUUACAAGGGCGUGGAGGGGAAGCCGGCUUGGGGGGGUGACCGGCCACAUUGGGACUGGGGUACGGCCCAGACUCCUACUGGAGGCAUCAGUGGGGAAUAGUGCACGAUGGGCGGAAGCCUGAUGCAGCAACGCCGCGUGCGAGAUGACGGCCGGCGGGUUGUAAACCGCGUGCGCCUGUGACGAAGCGUGAGUGACGGUAAUGGGUAAAGAAGCACCGGCUAACUACGUG
rnacentral:rRNA from 1 species